rnacentral:lncRNA from 1 species
UCUAGAUAGGCUUCCUACUCGAAGUAAUUUGGCUAAAAGAGGGAUUAUUCAUAAUCCUCAUGACAAGGUUUGUGUAUUCUAUUUUGGUCUAGAUGAAGAUAUCCACCAUGUUUUCAUUUAUCGUCCUAGAAUUGUGUUGGUGUGGAAGAAAAUUUUGGUUUGGAUUGGUGUGAAUUGGAUUAAUGAGAUGUUGUGUUGUAAUCAUCUGGUGAAAUGGCU